rnacentral:rRNA from 1 species
UACGUAGGGUGCAAGCGUUUGUCCGGAAUUAUUGGGCGUAAAGAGCUCGUAGGCGGUUCGGCAAGUCAGCUGUGAAAUCUCCACGCUCAACGUGGAGGGGUCAGCUGAUACUGCUGUGACUCGAGUCCGGUAGGGGGAGUGUGGAAUUCCCGGUGUAGCGGUGAAAUGCGCAGAUAUCGGGAGGAACACCAAUGGCGAAGGCAGAUCUCUGGGCCGUAACUGACGCUGAGGAGCGAAAGCAUGGGGAGCGAACAGG